AGCAGGUUACUCUGGAUUAUCCCCGGAACAAAUACCCCUGCAGUCCUAUCACUUCCUCCGGGCUCGACGCUGGCAGUGCCUCAGUGACCAGUCAAGCAUUUCCCGCUGUGGUUUCGUGGAGGCGCCUGGAUGAUUUGAAUCGUUUAUGUUGUAUUUGCUUUCUACGUUGUCUGUGCUUGGAAAUGGCUGGAGAGGACGCUGUGCAGCCGCUGAUGUUCCUGCUGAUGUACAUGCUCCUAAAACGCAGGAAGGAUUUAAACACCGCCGAUGCGCAGAGACGCAGUGAGAUCCAGCGCCGAGUCCGGCACAGACAGUACUUCUUUCAGAGACAAAGACGGAUGCUGAUGAUGCUAAUCGCACGCAACACGCGCUGCACCUGUAAUUACCGCACACGGGCAUGGACGAACAUUGAGAGCACUGAUUGGUGGGAACGGGUGGUGAUGAAGGAGUACCAGCCCCGUGAUUGGUUGGAAAAGUUCCGCAUGAGCAAGGACACAUUCUUCUUCUUGUGCAACAAGCUGAAGCCGCGGCUGACGCGGCAGGACACUCACUUCCGCCUGGCGCUGCCGCUGGAGAAACGUGUGGCUGUUGCGCUGUGGCGGCUGGCCACCAACGUGGAGUACCGCACCAUCAGCACGCUGUUCGGUGUGGGCCGCUCCACCGUCUGCAAGUGUGUGCGGGACGUGUGUCACGCCAUUGUGUCCUUGCUCAAGCCUCUGUACCUGCAGCAGCCCAGCGAGCAGGAGAUGGAGGACACGGCGCGCCUCUUCAACACACGCUGGGGCUUUCCGCACUGCAUAGGCGCUAUCGACAGCCUGCACAUCGCCAUCAUCGCGCCCUCCAACAACACAGCUGACUACUGGAACAGCGCGGGCUGGCUGUCGGUGGUGCUGCAGGGUGUGGUUAACGGGCUGGGUCAAUUCUGGGACGUCUGUGCAGGCUUUCCCGGAAGCACCGAGGAUGUGACCAUCCUGCAGAACUCCACACUGUGGGCCACAGCGAGCGAGGGGGGCCUCUCCCCCCAGCCUCCCAGGAGCUUCAUGGGGCGGCCGCUCAGGUACCUGCUGCUGGGUGAUGCAGCCUACCCCCUGCAGAGCUGGCUGCUGAAGUGCUACUCCGACUCCGGCCAGCUCACCCCACGCCAACAAGCCUUCAACUACCGGCUGAGCCGGGCACGCAGCGUCAUCGAGAAUGCCUUCCUGCGGCUGAAGGCCCGCUGGCAGUGUUUGCACAAGCGCAACGACUGCAGCCUGGACCUGCUGCCCACCAUGAUCCUGGCCUGCUGCAUCCUGCACAACGUGUGCGAGGUGCACGGAGACAUCUUCAGCGAGGAGUGGCUGGAGGCCGUCAGCCAAUCAGAGUGCCCGCAGCCCAGCGACACCGUGCCAGCUUCAGCGGAUGACCCUGCCGCAGAGGAAGUGCGUUCCCUCUUUUGUGACUACUUUGAGCAGCAGCAUCAGCAGCAGCAGGACUAAAGACUCUGCUUAGAGAAGCAGCUCUAUCAGGGCUGCAAACUCCUCUCUCAGCAGAGCUGCUCACCCUGACUGAGGUAGUUAGGUACUAUUGCCAUGAAAAUGGAGCCACCUGAGUCCACUAAGCUUUACCAAAAGCAGAACAUGUCUGAGCUCCACAGGCUGAACACAUACUGUGGCACUUCUGUGUCCUCAUCUAAUUUGUUAAUGCCACAUAUCUGCUUGUGUGACCUUGAAUGGCCAGUAGAGGACAGAAGAGGUCUUCUGUCCCUGCGAUAUGUGCAGCAGGACAGCACGGAUACAGCAGUGUGACUGCAUGCACUGAAGAAGCUGGAAACAGCCUUUCAGCACGGCCCUUCUCUCCGGACACACAGGGGAAAUCUGAGGGAUACAGCCGGAAGUUUCUGAGGCUGCUGGGGUUCUAACCUUGAAGACUGGGUUCUCGGCCCCCAAACUGAUGAAGAGGAUGGUGGCUGUGGCCUUGGAGGGGAGCGUGGAGCGGUGGAGGAGAGGAUGACGGACAGCCUCAGCGAGGACAGGGAGGGGGAGGCAGUGCAGAUGCAGGCAGAGAGGCCACAGCAGAGAGCCUCCACCCCCCUGCUCCCCUGCCACACAGCGCCAUAGCAACAGCCACACAGCGCUAUAGCAACAGCCACACCCAGCCAGCACCGGGUGCCCUUCAUCACCACCACAAAACCUUCAGUUACCUUGCCUGCCCUCCCACUACCCCUCCCUCUACUCCCCUCUUACCCACAUUACCGUAAUCCCCCAGCUAUUUACACAGCACAAAUCUCUACGAAAUUCUCACCCUCAAAACAGGACUGUACACUGCCCUAGAGAACAGCCACCUAAUUUUACCAUACAGAAAAUUCAUAGGGAUGACUUCAUGUGUCAAGUGUUUGACCUGAAUUAUUUUUUAUUUUUAUUUGCAUUUAUAAACAGUAUAAUACAUCUAACAAAAGCCACCAUGUGGAUCUUAUUUUAUACACUGAUGUCUGCAGCCACGGGCAGACUUUGCAGCUCUUCAGGUAGUGAUCAUCUGUUUGCUGAUACGCACACAGUGGCCUGGUGUAGGUUCAUUUCUGUAACACCAGUGUUCCCUGAGAUUUCAACCUUCUUCCAUUCUCUUUUACCAGCUGACACUGUUCAAAUUUAGCUUUUGAAAAAAUGUAAAAUUUUUGGAAACAUACGAUGUCUGU